UUUGUUCAUGGCUCAGGAUGAACGCUGGCGGCGUGCUAAUACAUGCAAGUCGAGCGAACGGACGAGAAGCUUGCUUCUCUGAUGUUAGCGGCGGACGGGUGAGUAACACGUGGAUAACCUACCUAUAAGACUGGGAUAACUUCGGGAAACCGGAGCUAAUACCGGAUAAUAUUUUGAACCGCAUGGUUCAAAAGUGAAAGACGGUCUUGCUGUCACUUAUAGAUGGAUCCGCGCUGCAUUAGCUAGUUGGUAAGGUAACGGCUUACCAAGGCAACGAUGCAUAGCCGACCUGAGAGGGUGAUCGGCCACACUGGAACUGAGMCACGGUCCAGACUCCUACGGGAGGCASCAGUAGGGAAUCUUCCGCAAUGGGCGAAAGCCUGACGGAGCAACGCCGCGUGAGUGAUGAAGGUCUUCGGAUCGUAAAACUCUGUUAUUAGGGAAGAACAUAUGUGUAAGUAACUGUGCMCAUCUUGACGGUACCUAAUCAGAAAGCCACGGCUAACUACGUGCCASCAGCCGCGGUAAUACGUAGGUGGCAAGCGUUAUCCGGAAUUAUUGGGCGUAAAGCGCGCGUAGGCGGUUUUUUAAGUCUGAUGUGAAAGCCCACGGCUCAACCGUGGAGGGUCAUUGGAAACUGGAAAACUUGAGUGCAGAAGAGGAAAGUGGAAUUCCAUGUGUAGCGGUGAAAUGCGCAGAGAUAUGGAGGAMCMCCAGUGGCGAAGGCGACUUUYUGGUCUGUAACUGACGCUGAUGUGCGAAAGCGUGGGGAUCAAMCAGGAUUAGAUACCCUGGUAGUCCACSCCGUAAACGAUGAGUGCUAAGUGUUAGGGGGUUUCCGCCCCUUAGUGCUGCAGCUAACGCAUUAAGCACUCCGCCYKGGA
rnacentral:rRNA from 1 species